rnacentral:rRNA from 1 species
UACGUAGGGUGCAAGCGUUAAUCGGAAUUGACUGGGCGUAAAGGGCUCGUAGGCGCCAACUAAGUCAGACGUGAAAUCCCCAGGCUCAACCUGGGAACUGCGUCUGAUACUGGUUGGCUUGAAUCCGGGAGAGGGAUGCAGAAUUCCAGGUGUAGCGGUGAAAUGCGUAGAUAUCAGGAGGAACACCGAUGGCGAAGGCAGGUCUCUGGGCAUUAACUGACGCUGAGGAGCGAAAGCAUGGGGAGCGAACAGG